GAAAUGCGAUAAGUAAUGUGAAUUGCAGAAUUCAGUGAAUCAUCGAAUCUUUGAACGCAUAUUGCGCUCCUCGGUAUCCCGGGGAGCAUGCCUGUUUGAGCAACGGUAGUAAAAAAUGUAAGGGGGCGUGUGGUGCAUGGAAUUCCUAAUCAGGAGUUCUAGCGAUCAUGGCGUGCUCGGUACCUUCUGAGAAUUCUCCUAUGGAGUGUCUUAAAAUACACGAUGGGCGGAGACAGAUUUGUUACCGUAGAGAGAUAUUUUAUUGUACUAACUCUACACUUUUAUCUUCUCUAUUGUGACCUUUCUGUCUUCUGUUCACUUUGUCUUUAGUUUUGAAGUCCGCUGUAGUUUUUUCUGCAUGCAGCUUCUGCAACAUCGUUAUCAAAUCAGGUAGGAAUAC
rnacentral:misc_RNA from 1 species